rnacentral:rRNA from 1 species
CGCGCAGGCGGUCUUGUCCGUCAGGUGUGAAAGCCCGGGGCUCAACCCCGGAAGUGCACUUGAAACAGCAAGACUUGAAUACGGGAGAGGAGAGAGGAAUUCCUGGUGUAGAGGUGAAAUUCGUAGAUAUCAGGAGGAACACCGAUGGCGAAGGCAUCUCUCUGGACCGAUAUUGACGCUGAGGCGCGAAGGCGUGGGUAGCGAACAGGAUUAGAUACCCUGGUAGUC